rnacentral:rRNA from 1 species
GACGAACGCUGGCGGCAUGCCUAACACAUGCAAGUCGAACGAGACCUUCGGGUCUGGUUGCGCACGGGUGCGUAACGCGUGGGAACCUGCCCUUAGGUUCGUAAUAACUCCCCGCAAGUGUUGCUCAUCCCUGAUAAUGUCUUCUUACCAAAGAUUUAUCGCCUUUGUAUGGGCCCUCGUUGGAUUAGCUAUUUGGUAGUGUAAAAGCCUACCAAGGCGACGAUCCAUAGCUGGUCUGAGAGGAUGAUCAGCGACACUGGGACUGAGACACGGCCCAGACUCCUACGGGAGGCAGCAGUGGGGAAUAUUGGACAAUGGGGGAAAGCCUGAGCCAGCAAUGCCGCGUGAGUGAAGAAGGCCUUAGGGUUGUAAAGAUCUUUUAACCGGGAUGAUAAUGACAGUACCGGGAGAAUAAGCACCGGCUAACUCCGUG